rnacentral:lncRNA from 1 species
CUCAGACACGCCCUGGCGGCACCCAGGCCCUGCUUGGCUCCCCUGGACGGAGCCAGAAGACCUCCUCUUUGUCAGGAAGUCUGCAGGUUUCAGAGACUAAUUCUCUGCUGGGCAUGUGUCCAGAAGAGGUGUAAGGAGUGACAGAUUGAUGGAAAGGCACGGCACCUUGGCUGGACAGGCUCGUCCUGUUUCUGGGCGGGCGGGGCGCACGCCUUCCGUGUUUGGUGGAGAAGCAGCCUGUGGUGAGGAGCGAGGAGCCAGAAGGACGGCUUGGGAGUGCCCUGGGGGACCUGAAUUGCUGUGAGUGUUGACAGCUCAGGAAAACUUACUCUUCUGUCAGAAGAAAUACGUCUUUUAGGAAUUGGCCUGAGUUAGAAUCUCAGAUGCUAAGAAAUCGACCGACUUUUCAGGAAAAAGGUGUGUUUUCAGCCUUGCUGUGAGUGGCUGUGAGAAGGGUCUGAUUUGUCGCUGAUACAGGUUCCUAAAGGGAGUGCCACUGCCCCAGCUGACAGCUCGCUGCAGGUGAACCCCAGCUUGCUUCCUAAUGUUCUGUGCUCAGGAGGGGAAGCUCCCAGUGGCUCAAGUGACCCUGGUGCUGUGUGCCUGCAAAGUUCUCCGCAAGCGGGGCAGGACCAACUUGCCACCCCAGACACAGGAUAAAAAUUGCAGCAGAGCAAGACUCAAGCUGGAUCACGUGGUGUGGUGACUUCUUUACUUCGCACCCCUUUUCAACCUUAACAUACUGAAGGGGAAGCGCUGUGGAGAAAACCGGAUGAUGGGUGGAGACCAGGAAGGGUACAGGGAGCCCACCUGUGGAGACGGGAGGACCACGUGCGGAUUCUGUGCCUGACGUGAACGUGCUUGCCAGGUGUCCUGCGUGGUCUCCGGCCACCACAAGGAGAGCCUCCCUCUGCACUUGCCUUCACCCUGGCUGCCUGUUAGAGAGCUACAGGGCAACUAUGAAAAGUCACUCGUGCCAGCCCUCCCCAUCCCUCCCCACAUGGUGUAGCCAGCCUCUCCAUGGUUGGUCUACGUGCAGCUCUGCAGGUGACCGAAUGUGCUUGCCCGGAGAACCUGCCCCUGCAGAGCCCCUCAGUUGGAGACCUGGUGCUUUUCAAGGCCAGACACCUGAUCCUAUAUCCAGCACACCCUGGUGAACACCAGAAACCCGGGGCACAGGAAGGGACCCUUGUUUGCCUGUGGAAAGUGUUAACAGGAACUUGAUGCAUUUAGACCACGUGUUAACUUUGGGCGUCACUGACGGAUGUCUGAGAACUUGAGGUGGGGAGAUGGCGAUUUAGCUUCUCAGGCUGGCCUGGGUAAUUAAACUACCGAUGUUAUUUAUGAGUUUUGGUCUUAAAGUGUUGUGCAAGCACCAGAGGCUUCCUAGCAAAGAGAGUGCGAUUUUCUUAAUCACAUAAAAUCUCAAGGUCCUGGCAGCUGCUCUUCAGAGGGUGUUUCCCGCUGUUGCAGCUUAAUCUGGUAGCGAAGCUGUUGAUUGAGUUCCCGUGAGUAACAAGAAACAGCAGAGAUUUGUGCAUUUCUACGUACGGCAAGUCCUGGCCCCAACAGCUUAGUGCUACACCUACCAGUUGUGGGAAAAUUUACAUUUCCAGGAAACUGCAUACAACUGGGUAGAGCGCUGGUCCUUCAGGGAGAGAAGUGUUCCAGUUAAAUAUGGCCAUCUUCUUCCUCCGUCUCCAAGAAUACAAACACAUUAUUUUAAGAACCAAAAUGGCUGAGCCCACAAUUGUAGCAUGAACAGCCCUAGGCAUUAAACAACAGGUUAAGUAGCUCUUGCUGUCUAUGAGCCCAGCUCUGACACUGCCUGGGUGAGGGCCUAGCCCCCAGUGCCUGAGUUUCUGCAUCUGUGAGCCCAGCUCUGGCACUGCCUGGCUGUGGGGUGCUAGGCCCUCAGUGCCUCAGUUUCCAUAUCUGUACACUGGGUCUCCAAAUGGUGUUGACCAUCAUGGAGUGGUUGUAAGGAGUUAAUGACUCAUAUGCAUGAAGUUCUUAGAACAGGCCUUCCCCUUUGCCAGCACUCAAUAAAUGUCAGUUAUUAUUAGCAAUAUUAGGGUCAGGCUACAAUAGUAAAGGGUAGUGUUUUGUCCCUGAGAGGAUUGGAAUCUAGAUGGAAUGAGAAAUAAUAACAGCAGCCAUCAUUUGAAUUUUCCCUGUAUACCGGGCAGCAGACUAGCACGUUGAGUAAAUAUCUCAAGUAAAGGGUACAAAUCCAGGUGGAAACAGAGAAGGAGCCUGUGACAGAAACUGUGCAGCCAGGAGAGGCCGGAUCUACAUGCUCAGAACACAGGGUUGUCGGCGAAGCUUCCCCGAGAGCCCACUUGGACCUGUUGUGGGAAGAGACGGCAGAGCUAAGACAAGCAGGUGGGUGCCGUGGAGGAGCCGAGAGCCGAUUGCAAACAACAGCAGAGGACGUCUCCUCUGCGACUGUGGGACUCCCCUUUCCUAGGUGUCUUUUAAAGCAGAAUUGAUUCCCACCCUGCGGGGAGAGGGGCGUGCGGUGUGAACCUGCUGGCAAGAAGGGGAGGGAGUGAAAUCUUUACAGAGCACCCUCCGUGAGGCCGGAUUUUUAGAGGUAGGGAUCAGGAACCACUGGGGCAGUCCCUGCAGGGGGUGGUCUGGGCUUGUGUGAAAACCUUGGCGAGGAGAGACCCAUGCCAGCGACGUGGCGUCCUAAGCAGGACGUCCAGCGAGUCAGUCACCAGCGCGGGCGCCUCGUCCUGUCCAUGGAACAUUCUGGGCUGCGCCGCCUCCCCUGGGGGUGGGGCUGCAGGAACCCUCAGGACCCUCACGCCCUGGGGGAGGAAGAAGCCUGGGCUGAGUCCCAGUGCUUGUGGGGAAGCUCUGAGCGUGGACACCGU